CCUACGGGCGGCUGCAGUGAGGAAUAUUGGUCAAUGGGCGCGAGCCUGAACCAGCCAAGUAGCGUGAAGGAUGACUGCCCUACGGGUUGUAAACUUCUUUUAUAAAGGAAUAAAGUGAGGCACGUGUGCCUUUUUGUAUGUACUUUAUGAAUAAGGAUCGGCUAACUCCGUGCCAGCAGCCGCGGUAAUACGGAGGAUCCGAGCGUUAUCCGGAGUUAUUGGGUUUAAAGGGAGCGUAGAUGGGUUGUUAAGUCAGUUGUGAAAGUUUGGGGCUCAACCGUAAAAUUGCAAUUGAUACUGGCAGCCUUGAGUACAGUAGAGGUAGGCGGAAUUCGUGGUGUAGCGGUGAAAUGCUUAGAUAUCACGAAGAACUCCGAUUGCGAAGGCAGCUUACUAAACUGCCACUGACGUUGAUGCACGAAAGUGUGGGUAUCAAACAGGAUUAGAUACCCGAGUAGUC
rnacentral:rRNA from 1 species